AUGACGGCCCUCGAAACUUUUGGUGAUAACUCAAAGGGUAAGGUGGUUGGCCUUGGUAAGGUGGCCAUCUCACAUGACAGCUCCAUAGAAAAUGUUAUGCUCGUUGAAUCUCUUGGCUAUAAUAUACUUUCUGUAUCUAGACUAGCUGACUUUGGUUUCAAUGUCCUAUUUACUAAAGUAGAUUGCCAAGUGUUUCGAAGAGAUAAUCAUAAAAUGGUCUUUACCAGCAUACGUAGAGGUGAUCUAUACAUUGUUGAUUUCACUAAAAAGGCUCAACCUAGAACUUGCUUAAUUGCUAAAUCUUCCAAAGGCUGGUUGUGGCAUAGACGGUUAGGUCAUGUG
rnacentral:rRNA from 1 species